AGGCUCGUGGCCUAGCCUGGAUAAGGCGGUAGCCUCCUAAGCUAAUGAUCGAGGGUUCAAAUCCCUCCGAGCCUG
rnacentral:tRNA from 1 species